CGUUGCUCGGAAUCAUUGGGCGUAAAGCGCACGUAGGCGGUUCGUUAUGUCGGAUGUGAAAGCCCUUGGCUUAACCGAGGAAGUGCAUCCGAAACUGGCGAGCUAGAGUACGAAAGAGGAUCGCGGAAUUCCCGGUGUAGAGGUGAAAUUCGUAGAUAUCGGGAGGAACACCGGUGGCGAAGGCGGCGAUCUGGGUCGAUACUGACGCUGAGGUGCGAAAGCGUGGGGAGCAAACAGG
rnacentral:rRNA from 1 species